UGGGGGAUAUUGCACAAUGGGCGAAAGCCUGAUGCAGCGACGCCGCGUGGGGGAUGAAGGCUUUCGGGUUGUAAACCUCUUUCGCUAUCGAACAAGGCCCGCUUAGGGUGGGUUGAGGGUAGGUGGAGAAGAAGCGCCGGCUAACUACGUGCCAGCAGCCGCGGUAAUACGUAGGGCGCGAGCGUUGUCCGGAAUUAUUGGGCGUAAAGGGCUUGAAGGCGGCUUGUUGCGCCUGCUGUGAAAACGCGGGGCUUAACUUCGCGCGUGCAGUGGGUACGGGCAGGCUUGAGUGUGGUAGGGGUGACUGGAAUUCCAGGUGUAGCGGUGGAAUGCGCAGAUAUCUGGAGGAACACCGAUGGCGAAGGCAGGUCACUGGGCCAUUACUGACGCUGAGGAGCGAAAGCAUGGGUAGCGAACAGG
rnacentral:rRNA from 1 species